rnacentral:rRNA from 1 species
AUGGACCAAACGGCGCUGCGGCCGCCAGACCGGUCGAAGACGUUGUGGCCGGAGCUGGUGGGCUACAAUACCAUCGCCGCUGGGAUCGUCAUCAUCAGAGACAGGCCCGACGUGCACGUCGAGUACUUCACCGUCGGUGGGGCUCCGCCAUCGCCACCGGAACCCAAACGCGUCAUCAUCUUUACAGACGGCCAGAUCACCGUCGUCUUCCCACCAUUCGUCGGCUAG